AGGAAGGAAGGAAGGAAGGAUCCAGACAUAUUAAAUAAUUAGUCUAGUUUUUAUUUCUUCAGACUGCUGAAAAAAUCCUUCUGAACUGAUUGAGUCUGUGGAUUUCGUUGUUUUGGGUUAUCUGGCUUGGAGCCCCGGCUAUCUGCUCGGGGGGCCAGCUAUUGCCGGAGACUACCCAUGGGACAGAUAGCCCAGAGGGGAGAGCCGGAGGCCAGGAUAGCUCAGCGGGGGCUCAGGCAACCUAGGCAAGCUAUAGUGAUUUGCAGCUCUUAGUGACAAUCAGCUCUUUUGUGAUCUCCAGCUCUCUUAGCUUGCUAGGUGCUGCGGCAGCAGACGCAGGGGAGAGAGAUGAGAAGCGCUGUAUGGGGUUCUGCAGGAUUCUUUUAUUUGGGUCUCCGCGAAGGAUGCAGUGACAGCUCUUCUGCCGAACCGGGCAGAAUCAGGGGUUUUUAUACCCUACAGGGGUUUUGAAAACUGUCCAAUAGUAAGGGUCAGGGGAAAGUGACCUAUGGAUUUACAGGGAGAUAAGCAGGGUCUGAAAGGCGGAAGAGAGGGACUGCUAGGGUCAUGCUGACUUGGCAUUUCCUAGCUCUUAGGCCUCUGAUCGCCAAGGCCUUGCAGGCCCUGGGCCUGCUACAUUGGGUAAUGUGAUAACAAAGCCAGUUAGGGGCAGCUGAUUUGCUUAAUGCUCAUUAUUAUUGUCAUAGGCUGUGACACCUCACAUGAACUCUUUAUUAGUGAGCAAAAAGAAAGAAAUUUGUGAGAUCAGCCAGUGUCAAUAGGAAUUAAUCAGUUUCAAUAUAUUCACAAGCUAAACAUUCUCUUCCUUUAAAACAUAAUCUCAAAGAAAUAAUUUAUGUGGGAUCAUACUGAGGAAAGCAAGGAAACUUUAAAUGGCAUGCUUGAUUCCAUUGGUUAUAAUAGUCUACAGAUUAAAUGAGAUUAUUAUAUUGGUCCCAAGGAAGAAUACUCACAUAACCCAUAGAAGAGACUUUUUCACCUCUCCUUGAGAUAAAAUAGUGAAAGCUGAUGUGAGUUGGGAAAACAGAACUAAAAAUCCCCACAACAUUACUCUUCUCUGCUUUUAUUAUUUCAUGGCUAUCAAAGUAAUUCCAUAGUGAAUAGCUUUAUAAAAAUUAUAAAACUGAUGCAGCUUUCUUUACCACAGAAUGGUAGUUUUAUUUUUAUUGCUAUGGAUUACAUUUUACCGUCAUAUUAUGAGAAUGCAGCCAUCCAAAGGAGGCACUUCAAAAUAUGUUUUAUUUUAUAUAUGUGUUAGCCAAGACUCUACUUGAGUCCUGUGGCCUAAGUAGAAGGACGAGUCCAGCAGGAAGGGGAAUAAAAAAAAAAAGUUCUAGAACUGGAAAAAUAUUAGGAAUGUCUGUAAUUAGUCUAAGUUACAAGCAAGGAUUGCAUAAACAAUAUUUAUUUAUUUCACUGGUUAAAAAAUACAGAAAAAUAGCUUCUGAAAAAUUGUGUAUCAAUUUCUGAAUAUUUUUUAUAGAUCAGAUCUAUGUUUUCUAACUGAGCUUCAUUAGCCAUAUUUCAAUCCACACACUUUUGUCUGUAGUGCUCUCACACACAAAGAAAAGAUUAAAUUGCUAUCUUGUCCUCCUGAGCAGCAGGAGGAAGAGAAUGGGUAGCACAGGAACCGGAUGACAUGCAUGUGGUAAGGUCUGUGGUAGCACCCACCUCUAUAGAAAGACAAAGUAGUUGCUAAUGAAUUUAAAUGUGUUUGUAGAAGGAAAAACACAGUUCACAUUCACUAAUUAACUAUGCAAUGGAUUUCUGGCUGUAACUUAAAAAAAGUUUCAAAAGUGUUUUUGUCGUGUAUAACAGAAGAGAGAAAGCAGACUCUAGAAAGCUAGGAGAAAUUACAAAACCAAGUUUUCUGUCUCUUGUUUAAGAUGAACUCUAUGUAUUCCUGUGAUACAUCAUUUGAAUCUGAGGGGCCACGUAUCUUAUCACAAGUCUUCUGCAAAAUGGCAGAAGACUGCAUUCCUAUUGUGUAUUACUUGUAUGUUGCAUACAAAAUUGAUAGAAAAUACAAUUCAGCAGUGGAAGAAAAUCAACAGUCAUCUGAUGGAACAUUUUAUAUACAACUCUAAAGAAAAUUGUGUGAUAAAGGAAUGGACACAGAUGAUUAGGGCUUUUUUUACAGUCUAUUAGCACUUUCAGAUCUUAGUUAUUCCUCAAUACAACACAGGAACUAUUAAAAUUCGGACUCAAAACACCAAACUUCAAAACAUCACUAUGUCAAUUCCCUCUGAUUAAUGGUGCCAUUAAGGUUACCUGUUAAAAAGAAAAGAGAAAAGGAAAAGGAAAAGGAAAAGGAAAAGGAAAAGGAAAAGGAAAAGGAAAAAAAAGGAAAAGGAAAAGGAAAAGGAAAAGGAAAAGGAAAAGGAAAAGGAAAUACCAAACAUAACAAACAAAUAAAAAAAAACCCAACCCCAAAGAAAUCAGGUACAAUUGUGUGCCAACAUGACAUUUUGCAUAGGUUCAUCUAUAUGACCUUGCCUUUUUGGAAACUCAAAAUGCCCUCACUGUAGAAGAAAAACCAUAUUCUCCUAAAAGAGUUAUAUUUUUCUUUUCUCCUUAUCCAGCUUCAGUGCUACUGUACUGCCUGUAAAGGACUGUUAAAGAGUGACUUAUUUUGCAAUUGCCAUUUGCUAUUUCCCGUUUGCCCUUGAUAAGAUCUGUAGUUGAAGACCCAAUGUAAUAAUGGGCCAUGAUCAUUCCGUCAGUAAUGGGCCACGACCUCCCAAGGUAGCAAAGAUGAACACACUCCCACCAUUACAGGUGAGCAACCUGCAUGUGCACAACUGAGCAUAUUCUGGGAAUGUGAUGAACCUCGAUUAACGUGCCAUUGUCAUGCCCCCCCCACUGCAGUGAAACUGCUGAGCCAGUGCCACAAAGCAGUGCUCAGCCA